rnacentral:rRNA from 1 species
UACGUAGGGCGCAAGCGUUGUCCGGAAUUAUUGGGCGUAAAGAGCUCGUAGGCGGUUUGUCGCGUCUGCUGUGAAAACCUGAGGCUCAACCUCGGGCUUGCAGUGGGUACGGGCAGACUAGAGUGCGGUAGGGGGUGACUGGAAUUCCUGGUGUAGCGGUGGAAUGCGCAGAUAUCAGGAGGAACACCGAUGGCGAAGGCAGGUC